UGCAAAGAAGAUAUGUCUGUCUUCUGUAUAUACCCUGUAGAUCCGAAUUUGUGUAAGGAGUUUCGUGGUCACAAAUUCGUAUCUAGGGGAAUAUGUAGUUGACAUAAACACUCCGGUCAUUUU
rnacentral:pre_miRNA from 13 species